rnacentral:rRNA from 1 species
CCCAAGAGGGAUUGCCUUAGUAGCGGCGAGUGAAGCGGCAAAAGCUCAAAUUUGAAAUCUGGCACCUUCGGUGUCCGAGUUGUAAUUUGAAGAUUGUAACCUUGGGGUUGGCUCUUGUCUAUGUUUCUUGGAACAGGACGUCACAGAGGGUGAGAAUCCCGUGCGAUGAGAUGCCCAAUCCUAUGUAAGGUGCUUUCGAAGAGUCGAGUUGUUUGGGAAUGCAGCUCUAAGUGGGUGGUAAAUUCCAUCUAAAGCUAAAUAUUGGCGAGAGACCGAUAGCGAACAAGUACAGUGAUGGAAAGAUGAAAAGAACUUUGAAAAGAGAGUGAAAAAGUACGUGAAAUUGUUGAAAGGGAAGGGUUUGAGAUCAGACUCGAUAUUUUGUGAGCCUUGCCUUCGUGGCGGGGUGACCCGCAGCUUAUCGGGCCAGCAUCGGUUUGGGCGGUAGGAUAAUGGCGUAGGAAUGUGACUUUGCUUCGGUGAAGUGUUAUAGCCUGCGUUGAUGCUGCCUGCCUAGACCGAGGACUGCGAUUUUAUCAAGGAUGCUGGCAUAAUGAUCCCAAACCGCCCGUCUUGAAGCCCGGGACCCAAAA